rnacentral:rRNA from 1 species
GAUCAUGGCUCAGGACGAACGCUGGCGGCGUGCCUAACACAUGCAAGUCGAGCGAUGAAGUUCCUUCGGGAACGGAUUAGCGGCGGACGGGUGAGUAACACGUGGGCAACCUGCCUUAUAGAGGGGAAUAGCCUUCCGAAAGGAAGAUUAAUACCGCAUAAGAUUGUAGCUUCGCAUGAAGUAGCAAUUAAAGGNGCAAUCCACUAUAAGAUGGGGCCCGCGGGCGCAUUAGCUAGUUGGUGAGGUAACGG